CGAGAGCUGAAACACUGAGGCAGAACUCUGGCUUGUGCGACCUCAGAAGAAACAUGCAUUUCCAGUGACUUGACUUUCUCACCACUCUGUAGCUGUCUGAAGAUGAUUUUGAAAGCACUGCAUUGAUUUAGAGGAGGAGCAGCCCCAGCCCAGGAGCUGAGAGGAACGGACCAAGAGACGGGGAAUGGACUGCUGCUGCAGAGAGUUGAAGGCAGAUCUGCAGAGAACUGCAGAUGGCAGCCUUCUGCUGAACUGCAUCAAUUACAUGUGGCAAGGACCCUUCUCCUCAUCUCCAGAGCUUGUGCUUGAACCGCUGCAACUUGAGAGUCCAAUCAAUUCACAGUUAUCGAUCACCUUGUAUCUAGCCGCCGCGAACCAAGGUUGAACGGUGAGAGGAAGAAAGAGUGAAAUCCCAGACUUCUGCCUUUCCUUCCCUCUCUCUUGGAAACAUCACGCUUUGCCCUCACAGGCAGGCUGAGGAGGAGUGCUGCAGCUGCAGUUUCAGUGGAGCCCCUGGUGUCAGGGUCAUUGCCGAUUCCUGAGGCUGCCCCAGCGAGCCUCACCCUUCAGAACACGGUGAGGUCAAUUUUGUAGCACACGGGGAAAUAAAAUUCAUUCCUGAGGGUCAUUCCCAAAUCAAAAAUUUAAUUAAUUUCUUCUCAUAAACUUUUGUUCUUAUUUUGAUCCCGCAUGAGAGAUUUCUGAGAAAAUAGCUCAGCUUUUCCCAACGCAAAGGUAUGCACCUUGGCCAUUCCCUCGGACCCCGUCGACGGUGGUUAAAUAAAUCACUUGUUGCUAAACAGCAAUUCAUUCCCCUGACAUCUACAUGGCCCUCUUGGUUUAUUUUAAAAUAUAUCAACUAACUUGCCACCACUGCCGUGGCUUUUAAUGUGUCUGACACAUCCAAUUUCAAUAGCUCCAUGAAAAUGUCACGCCAUAAAAUAGAGACAGGAAGACAACAGGGAAGGCACCGAGAGUUAGUGUGUCGGCGCAUCCUUGGAAAAUAAGGGACAAAAACACUCAUCCAGGUGGGGUUCAGGAAAGGGCAUUUCUCCCAGAAGUUCAGGAAAUUAAUUAGGUUAUGUGGGACUAGCUCUUUAUAUGUAUUCCUUUUGAAAACAUUAAUUCUCCAUGCUUGUUAUUUUUGCUUAUGGAACUUAUAGGCUUUCCUAGGGUCUCUUUCACAUAAAGUAACACCUGUCUGAUGAGUGUCUUCAAUCUUUCAUUUCCAGGGAAAUAUUUACCGUUGAAUGUAGUCAUGUUAUUUAGUAAAGGGAAGAGUUCUAGAAUGUUAGACGUGUGCUCUCUUUCUAUUUGUUCCACACACAGUAAUUUCAUGUUAUACUAAACGAGACAUUGCGCUAGUCACCUGGCCUCGGUGGGUCGGCAGUCCCAUGAGAAUGAUCUUUGUCUAUGCAGGCAAAGGUGGGAGGAGGUGGUUAUGUCUUAGCUCUGGUACAAAUGUGUCGUAACUAAGGCAAUUGAGAUUCCUAAUCUGUAAAACUGGAAAGAUAUUAAAUACGACUUACUGUAAUGGUUUGGCUAUGAGGUGUUCCCCAAAAGCUCCUGUGUUAAUUCAGGGAUAUUCAGAGAUGAAAUGAUCAGAUUAUGGAGCUUUAACCUAAUCAGUCCAUCCCAGUUUGAAUGGACAGAGUGGGUGGUAAUUGGAAGCAGAUGGGGUGUGGCUGGAGGAGAUGGAUCACUGGGCUCAUGUCCUGGAGGAUGCAUUUGCCCUGCAGUCCCUUCCCCUCCCUCUCUCUCUGCUUUCCAGCUACCAUGUCCUGAACUAUUUUCCUCUGCCAUGCUCUCGGCCAUGUUGUUCUGUCUCAACUCAGGCCCAGAGCAAUGGGGUCAGCUGACCAGGGACUGAACCCCAGAAAUCAUGAGCUCGAAUUAAAUUUUCCUCCUCUAAGUUGCCAGCUAUUUCGGUCACAGCAAUGAAAACCUGACUGAUACACCUACUUCAGGGUUACUGGUGUGAUUAAUAGCAAUAGUAAAGCCCUGUAAAACUCAAUGUUUGGUUCUUGACUAAACUCAAGGCACACUGUGAUUAUUGACUCUCCAUCUAUAUUGUUCUAGAAGCUGAUUCAGGUGCCUAAUAUCUACCAUUCACUGCUGAUGUCUUUACAGUGAGACAAUCUGGCAUUGAAAAUAAGGUGUCAGGAAAUCACGUGAUGCUUUCGUUUUUUGCCUCAGUGGUUACCAGGUCUACCAUCUUAUUCCUCUGGUGCCUUGCAGAUUCCUCAAGCCCAACAGGUCACAAAUAUACCCACUCUCGUGAAUUUUCUCUCGUUGAUGAUGGACAUUUACUUUCUUUCCCAAAUUAGAACUUUGAUAUAAUCCUCAACCCUCUCCUUCCCUGACCUAUUACUGGUCUAAAAUUCUAAACCUCUACCUCCUCGUGUCUCCCAGAUCUGUCCACAUUUCCCCAUCAGGUCACUACUGCUCUGGUAUGGGUCCUCUGUUCUCUUUAGAGCAACCUCCAACCUCGCUGCCUCCCUAUGAGCCUUUUAUUCCUCAAGCUGCUUCAAGUCGAAUCCCCGAAGUCAAACAUGAUCAUGUUCUGCUUCCCAUAGAAAAGCUGCUGCUGGCUCCCCACUGCUCCCUAGGAUAAUAAUCUAAACAAUUUAAAGCUCAGUUCUCACGACUUUCCCAUAACACACCAGCCACAUUUGCCCUUGGUCAUUCCAUGAAGAAUGCUUCUUUCUCCCUCUGUCUUAGUGGCUGUUUUCACUCUUCAUGUGACUUCAAUGUCCCCCUCCUUUGCCUUGACAGCUUCUAAAUUCUCAUUCAACUGAUCCAAUGUCACCUCCUCCAUGCACCCGCUCAGCAUUCUGGACAUAGCUGCCACUUCCUUUGAGCUCCUUGGCACCUUCCAUACUUUGACUGGAGUGUUUACUACAUGGUAUUGAAAUACUAUUGUUGGUUUGUGUUACCCUUGAAAUGUGAGCUCCCUAGAGUAGGGGUUAUAUUUUAUGACCUUUUUAUCUCCAGUGCCUGGGAUCAGAUGGAAUCUGAACCUGACAGACUUUUGACAGUAACGGUAGGAGAAGGGUGCUGUUGCUCUGUUGCUUCCUUUCCCUCAAGCAUUUAUCCUGGAUGUUCCUGUACUAAGAGCCUCCUAGCUGUCCUCCUGCCUCUACCUUACUUCAAGUAUUAAAUUAUACUGUGGUUGUCUUGGUCUACUUGUGCUGCCAUAACUAACGGCCACGGACUGGGCUGACUUAAACAGCAGAAAUUUAUUUCUCACAUUUCUGGAGUCUGUAAGUCUAAGAUUAGGGGGCAGCAUGGCUAGAUUCCAGGGGGAGCUCUGUUCUAGGUUAUACCUGGCUACCUUCUCUUUUAGCGCCCUAUGGAGGAGAGACUGCAGAGAAUGAUGGGAAGGGUCCCUUUUAUAAGGAAACUAAAUUCCAUUCAUGAGGGCUCCACCCUCAUGACCUAAUUACAUUUCAACUACCCCCCGCUGCUGAGGUGGGUGCACUGUCAUGCACCUGUAAUACCAACCACUGAGACAGGAGACUCUCUUGAGACCAGGAGCUCAGUGUCAGCCUGGGCAACAUAGACAGACCCCUACUUUGAAAAUUUAAAAGACCCCACAUUCUACUAUACCAUUAUAUUAGUGGUUAAGAUUUCAAUAUAUGAACUCGGAUAAGUGGGGUACAAACAGUGGGGUACAAACAUUCUGUCCAUAAACUGCUACAGUCUCACUCCUCCUUAAACAUUAUUUGUCCUUCAGUGGACAGGAUGUGGGCCAAGUAUGGAUGCAGAAGCAUAUGGCCUCAAUUCAGGUCUCUACCUACCUGUUGGGGAACUUUUGGCAAAUUGCUCAAUCACCUUGUGCCUUGGUUUUUGCAUCUUAGAUCUAGGGACAAAUAUAUACUUAUUUCACAGGGCUGUAUGAGGAUUAAUAAGUUGAAUCCUAUACAGUAUUUAGAAGAGAGUCUGACCCUUAGUGCGUGCUCUGGGGUGUUAGCUGCUACUAGCCUUGCUCAGAUGCGAAUUCCUCACCUGUGAACUUCUCUCCUCUCAGCUCUUUCCUCUGGAUUCCACAGCCUGCUCUUACCACACGUACCUCCUGACUAAAGAACAUUAAAUAGCUUACCACCUGGCUUCAUGUUUGUCCAUGAAUCCAUCUCUCUUGGUAGCUGUUAAGUUCCUUUAAGACAUUCCAUAUUUUUUUUAUUUUUAAUUUUGGAAUGCUGGGGAUUGAAACUGGGGCCUUGUGCAUACUAAGCAAGCACUCUACCACUGAGCCACAU